rnacentral:rRNA from 1 species
AUGCACUGGGAGCUGCAGGAAGUCGAGAAUGUCUCCACCACCCUUGUGUGCAAGAAGGCAAGCAACACGAGGAGCGGCGAUGGCCGCUGCCUGAGCCUGGCGUUCUUUUUGUUGAGAAUCCCUGAGCCCGGUGGUGGUUAUCGCGAGAACCAGGACAACGGAAGCCAGGUGGCAUCACUGGUCCAUGUGUCAUUGUAUAUGGACAAGUCUGCAGGGGUUUGCCAGUCGGACUUCCAUGAUUGCAAAUUGUCGUUCCUGCAACUUAUAUGUGAUCAUGAUCUUUUUGUUGAGAUGACUGACCAGCAAUAUUGUUCAGAGACUUCGGUCCUCCUCCACAGCGGGAUGCGACCUCCCUGGAGCAGCGGGUCAGGCGCAUCGUCGGAGGGGGAGAAGAGCUUGUUAUCUACAUGA